CCUACGGGGGGCUGCAGUGGGGGAUAUUGCACAAUGGGGGGAACCCUGAUGCAGCGACGCCGCGUGGGUGAAGAAGCGCCUCGGCGCGUAAAGCCCUGUCAGCAGGGAAGAAAAUGACGGUACCUGACGAAGAAGCCCCGGCUAACUACGUGCCAGCAGCCGCGGUAAUACGUAGGGGGCAAGCGUUAUCCGGAUAUACUGGGUGUAAAGGGGGCGCAGACGGCGAUGCAAGCCAGGGGUGAAAGCCCGGGGCCCAACCCCGGGACUGCUCUUGGAACGGCGUGGCUGGAGUGCAGGAGGGGCAGGCGGAAUUCCUGGUGGAGCGGUGAAAUGCGUAGAUAGCAGGAGGAACACCGGUGGCGAAGGCGGCCUGCUGGACUGCAACUGACGUUGAGGCCCGAAAGCGUGGGGAGCAAACAGGAUUAGAUACCCGGGUAGUC
rnacentral:rRNA from 1 species